CCUUUUUAUUUUAGGCUUUCAAAAUUCACUGGCUUUCUAAAACUCCAGCAAGAAACUUGGAGACUCAAGUUACCCAUGAAAGAUGUUGGAAGAGCAUCUGCACUUCCCUGAUUAGUUUCUGGUGGCCGCAGCCAUGCCCCACUGUUAAGUUGACAUCUGGGAGUCCCAAAAUUUGGAUGAUGCCAGUUGUGAAGCUGUGAGUUUGUUCGCCCUCUUUGUGACAACUAAAAUAUGUCUCCACACAUUGCCAAAUGUUCUCUGGGGCAAAAUCAUACCUGACUAGAACCACUGCUAAGAGAAAGCAACAAGAGAAGUACUGUCUUUGAGUGGGUUUUCAUCUCUGGAAGGCAGGAGAACAGCUUUGGGUUGUUUGGGUACAGAGACUGGGAAUUCCAAGAUGCCUUAGUAUCUGGCGAAAUGUAGAGGCUUCUACUUGGCUCAUGCAGGGGGGUCACAUGUGAUCCAAGGAUCAGUUGGUGGAAAAUGGUGUUUCAAGCUGUGUUUCCAGUCUUGGGCACUCACCUAUGAAGUGCAAGCUGUGGCAAGAAUCAACCUUCUAGAUCAAAGGGAUAUAAUGACAAAAGAAAAGGACGAAGUAUCCCCAGAGUAAGAAAUUCCAGACCAAAGUCAAGGCUGGACAGCUUCAUGGAUUAGCAUCUAUUAGAUGUUUCAUACUCGGAGCUUAUACCGUAAAGUAGCAUGGUCAACACACCAGCUCUUACACAUAGCACAAGGACUACACCUGCAUACUCUUGAUUUACUUUAAUGUUUUCUUUCCUACCCCAAGACUGGAAAAAGCACCAGUUUUGAGAUUGUGUCUGAUUUUUCAUCCCUUGUGUGUUCCUACAGCUUUUUCCUUCCAUGAGUCUUUAAUAAAAUGGCUGAACACAUUUA